rnacentral:rRNA from 1 species
GCCUAACUACAAUAUACAAUUAAACCACCAAUUGUCCGCCAAACAACUACGAGCUAUACUUAAAACUUAAAAGACUUGACGGUGCUUCACCACGCCCUAGAGGAGCCUGUCUAGUAACCGAUGAUCCACGAUUAACCCAGCCCCCUCUAGCCUAACAGUCUAUAUACCGCCGUCGCCAGCUUACCUUGUAAAAGAAAUAAAGUGAGCUAAAUAGUACCACACUUAAACGACAGGUCGAGGUGUAACUAAUGAAGGGGCCUAAGAUGGGCUACAUUCUCCUAUCCGAGAAUACGAACAAUACUAUGAAAUUAGUGUUCAAAGGAGGAUUUAGCAGUAAGAUAAGAAUAAAACACUUAACUGAACAUAACGCAAUGAAGUGCGUACACACCGCCCGUCACCCCUGUCACCACAACAUAUCUUUAAUUAAACCAACCAAAAACAUAAACCAGGGCAAGUCGUAACAUGGUAAGUGUACUGGAAAGUGCACUU